AGAAAGCCUAAUGCUUCAGAAAUCCUUACAUUUAUGAUAUUCCCGUGAGUGUUGAUCAGCCUUUUUUAUUUUCUUUCUUUUUUUUUUUUUCUGAAAAACUGGAUUGAAGUCAUGCUGUUGUUACUCUUUUCAAGGUCCUUUCCCUUUAAAAAGUGAUUAGACGUUAUUCCACUGAUGCUUUCCUUUGCUUGCUCUGUAGGUUGAUUCCAGUCUGGACACUCUGAAGCAAUUGCUACUGGGACUUCUGAGCUACUCAGACACAGCAGAGAUAAAGGCCAUAUAAAAAACUAGAUUUGGAUCAGUUCUACAGCUCUUUUAAGGACAAAGUCUGUCUUUCUGCAAGAUUCUUACAACUUUAUACACUUUGAGUCGUUCAGUUAAUAGAUUAUUCAGAGGGUAAAAACAGAAGAAGUCAUUGCAGGAGGUUGUGUUUGACUAGGGCUCAACCUCCGUCUCUACAUCCUAAGCCUUACAGAAAAUUUUCUCAGACUGCGAUCAGGUAAAGGCAUUUCCACUGGCCAUUUUGGUGGUCCAAUUGCUGAACCUUGGCUUGUCAACGCUUGGUAUUUAGAUAGUAGAUGCUUCUUCCUUGUUUCCUCUUUUGAGAUUUGGCUUCCACGACAUUCACACCUUCACAUAUACUUACUACAGGAUGCUGCAUUUUACUGUGAGACUACGUGACCCAUCCUGAGCAGCUCAGUUA
rnacentral:lncRNA from 1 species